rnacentral:rRNA from 1 species
UACGUAGGGUGCGAGCGUUGUCCGGAAUUAUUGGGCGUAAAGGGCUCGUAGGCGGUUUGUCGCGUCGGGAGUGAAAACCAGGUGCUUAACACCUGGCUUGCUUUCGAUACGGGCAGACUAGAGGCAUGCAGGGGAGAACGGAAUUCCUGGUGUAGCGGUGAAAUGCGCAGAUAUUAGGAGGAACACCGGUGGCGAAGGCGCUGCUCUGGGCCGAAACUGACGCUGAGGAGCGAAAGCGUGGGUAGCAAACAGG